UCUCUUCUUCUUUUUUCUGGGUAGAAGCUUUUCGCAUUUUCUUCUUCCGGCCGUGAAAUCGAGCAAUACUUGAAAUGGGUCUUUGAGUUCAGCUAUCCGAUCUCCAUUUCAAAGUAAACUGGGAACAAUUAAGGAAUUUAGGAGUGUGAUGCGAAACAAUCUGUGUGUAUGUAUUUGGUUGCAAAGAUUCCGUCUCUGCAGAUAUUUAGAGCACCUUACUCUGUUAUUCGAUAAGAUAAUGCUGUUGCUGAUUUUGAAACCUGCCCAGAGUUUCAUCAUAAGAUGCUACUUAUCUUACUUUUGUGUAAUUUAGUGUCUCUUAUCUUACAGGAGAACCUGAUAUUGCAAAGGUACAAGUUCAGUUGCUUCAUUUUCUUGACUAUUUAGUGGUCGUCGUGGGCUCAGAUUUUGAAUUACUACUAUUUUUGCUGAUAGCAUGACUGAGACUAUAUCACAGAAGUGCAGGGGACAAUGUCCUUGAAAGGGGAGGGUUAUGCUGUAUCUUCAGAAUUCUCACUUGGUCUUGUUGCUUUGUGUAUGUCUUUUUUUUGGUGGCUCAAGGCCGUGGAGGUGAUUCGCUCGGUUCCAUGGACUCCUUUGUCCAUCGCUUACUCCAGUAUUUGGGGAGCAAAAAGAGACAGAAUCAGAGGUCAUUGUCUCAAAGCUCUCUAUUCCGCAAACACAUUAUGAUUUGGAGUGCGUAAGGCCUGAUUUCAUAAUGCUCCGUAAAUUAGACCUUGUCUCAGAAGAGAUAAAUUGGAGGAGCCUUGGGGACAAGAGUGAUCCCUUCAGUUCUGGUGUUAUCUAUGUCAAAAGGAAAGUAUGAGCUUGUUCGUAUGUUGAUGAUCCAGUUGGGUGUUAGUUACUGCUUUCACGAGUAAUGCAUAAGGUUUUUGGUUUAAGAACUCUGGACGAAGAUAAUAUGCUUGCUAAUAGCCACAGAGAACUGGAUUCUGAUAGCGUUGGUCACUUGGCAGGUCAGCACUUUCUCAUCGGAUCCAAGCCUAAUAGCCGCGGUUACAAUGAUGGCAAGACAAAGAUAUCGUUGACAAGACAACAUGACCAAAAAAUUAUUUCAUGCUUUUUCUACCUCAAUGAAAACCCCUCAAUAAUGAAAGUCAUCAUUAAUUUAAACAUUUAUAUCUUGUCCACUUUUGUUAUUUACCUACAGUUUCCAA